rnacentral:rRNA from 1 species
AGCGAACGCUGGCGGCAGGCUUAACACAUGCAAGUCGAGCGGGCACUUCGGUGUCAGCGGCAGACGGGUGAGUAACACGUGGGAACGUACCCUUUGGUUCGGAAUAACGCUGGGAAACUAGCGCUAAUACCGGAUACGCCCUUUUGGGGAAAGGCUUGCUGCCGAAGGAUCGGCCCGCGUCUGAUUAGCUAGUUGGGGGGUAAUGGCCUACCAAGGCGACGAUCAGUAGCUGGUCUGAGAGGAUGAUCAGCCACACUGGGACUGAGACACGGCCCAGACUCCUACGGGAGGCAGCAGUGGGGAAUAUUAGACAAUGGGCGCAAGCCUGAUCCAGCCAUGCCGCGUGAGUGAUGAAGGCCUUAGGGUUGUAAAGCUCUUUUGUCCGGGACGAUAAUGACGGUACCGGAAGAAUAAGCCCCGGCUAACUUCGUG